CUCUUCUCCAUGACUUCUCUCUCUUUAUUUCAGAAAAACUUAGAAAAUUUUCAUAUUUUCAACAUUCUUUAUCAAAUCUUCAUAAAAACAUUAUAAAAUCAUCAUGAACAUUCAACAUUCAUCACAUACUCAACAAAUCUCCAGAAAACACCAGAGCAAUCUUCAACAGCCUUCAACAUUCUUCAUCUAAUUCUCAACUCAUAUUCAGAAAAUCCAAGAAAAUCUUCAAACACAUUCAACGACCUUCAUCCAUAUUCAUCAUCUUUAUCGAAUCUUAACAUGUCAAAA
rnacentral:lncRNA from 1 species